CAACGUUAAACAGAGAGAAAGCCACCUAUUUUAACCAGUGGGCCUCAAAAAGCCAUCCAAAAAUAUAACGUUAAAGUAACGACUAAAAAAUAUCAACAGCACAUUCAUCCUCCUGUCCCACCCCCCAGCCACUCUAUGAUCAUAGAGGAGAUGAUGCUAAAACUAGUAACAAGAAUAAUUCUCCACGAACAAAAUUCUACCAUUACAGACCAAAUCCGGCAAUAUGAAAUGUAUUUCACACUCCAUUUUUCCCCCUGUAACACCAACUCAGGAUUGUUCACGGAGACCUACAGCCAAAAAAGGAACUCGGCAAACAUAACCUUUCCAACUGUUUACCAAAAACAUAGCCUUUAGCCAACCAGUAUUAAAGGUAACGCCUGCCCAGUGAAUAAGUACAUUUUAACGGCCGCGCUUAAACCGUGCAAAGGUAGCAAAAUAUUUGUCCUCUAAAUAAGGACCCGCAUGAACGGCAACAUGAGAAAGAACCUGUCUCUUUUGGCUAGUCAGUGAAAMUGACUGCCUGUACAAAAGCAGGCAUAAAAAAACAAGACAAAAAGACCCUGUGAAACUUAAAAUACCCUUCAACCCAAUGCAGGACAUUUUUCGGUUGGGGCAACCAAUGAGAAACAAACCUCAUAAAAUCACGAGACACACAAGCCUAAUAACUAUAAAGAUCCAGUACUACUGAUCUAAGGACAAAGCUACUCCAGGGAUAACAGCGCCACAUUCUUAAAGGUCCAUAUCAACA
rnacentral:rRNA from 1 species